rnacentral:tRNA from 5 species
AGCAGAGGACUGAAAAUCCUCGUGUCAC